GUGAGAAGCUGAUGGGGGAGUUCAUGCACACCGUGACAUAUGAGAUGCACGGCUUGGGUUGUAUUGAACUUACCAUGAUCCUUUCUGUUGGAUUCGCUGGUAAUCUUUGGAUCAGGUGUUAGUCUCUGGUAGGACUUACUUAAUACGGGUCUUCCGGAAGACGUUGUUUGUUGAAUAUUCUGGAUGUGUAGAUCCAUGUGAGAUCUAUGUGAUUGUUUAUUGUUGAGAUUUGAAGAAAAUUGAAUAAUUUGAUAAAUUGAUCAUGUAAUUUGGUUUUCUCUUUGGAUUUA
rnacentral:lncRNA from 1 species